rfam:Helianthus annuus linkage group 1, whole genome shotgun sequence.
GAAUGAAGUGAUGAUUAAUAGAUUCCCUAUUGGUUUGAUUUGCCAGAGUGAUGGCUAAAUUAGUAUUAGCUCUAAGACCAAGC